AUUGAACGCUGGCGGCAGGCCUAACACAUGCAAGUCGAGCGGAUGAAGGGAGCUUGCUCCUGGAUUCAGCGGCGGACGGGUGAGUAAUGCCUAGGAAUCUGCCUGGUAGUGGGGGAUAACGUCCGGAAACGGGCGCUAAUACCGCAUACGUCCUGAGGGAGAAAGUGGGGGAUCUUCGGACCUCACGCUCUCAGAUGAGCCUAGGUCGGAUUAGCUAGUUGGUGGGGUAAAGGCCUACCAAGGCGACGAUCCGUAACUGGUCUGAGAGGAUGAUCAGUCACACUGGAACUGAGACACGGUCCAGACUCCUACGGGAGGCAGCAGUGGGGAAUAUUGGACAAUGGGCGAAAGCCUGAUCCAGCCAGGCCGCGUGUGUUAAGAAGGUCUUCGGAUUGUAAAGCACGUUAAGUGGGGAGGAAGGGCAGUAAGCUAAUACCUUGCUGGUUUGACGUUACCAACAGAAUAAGCACCGGCUAACUUCGUG
rnacentral:rRNA from 1 species